rnacentral:rRNA from 1 species
UACGGAGGAUCCAAGCGUUAUCCGGAUUCAUUGGGUUUAAAGGGUGCGUAGGCGGAAUGAUAAGUCAGUGGUGAAAGCCUGUUGCUUAACAACAGAACUGCCGUUGAUACUGUCAAUCUUGAGUACAUUUGAUGUGGGCGGAAUGUGUCAUGUAGCGGUGAAAUGCUUAGAUAUGACACAGAACACCGAUUGCGAAGGCAGCUCACAAAACUGUAACUGACGCUGAGGCACGAAAGCGUGGGUAUCAAACAGG